UACGUAGGGUGCAAGCGUUAUUCGGAAUUACUGGGCGUAAAGCGUGCGCAGGCGGCUUUGCAAGUCAGAUGUGAAAUCCCCGGGCUUAACCUGGGAACUGCAUUUGUGACUGCAUGGCUGGAGUGCGGCAGAGGGGGAUGGAAUUCCGCGUGUAGCAGUGAAAUGCGUAGAUAUGCGGAGGAACACCGAUGGCGAAGGCGAGCCCCUGGGCCUGCACUGACGCUCAUGCACGAAAGCGUGGGGAGCAAACAGG
rnacentral:rRNA from 1 species